rnacentral:rRNA from 1 species
CCUACGGUGGGGCAGCAGUGGGGAAGAUUGCGCAAGGGGAGAAAGCAUGACGCAGCGAAGCUGGGUGAGGGAUGAAGGUCUGCGGAUAGUAAACCGCGGUCAGCAGGGAAGAACGGGCACUGUGCGAAUCAGCAGUGAAUUGACGGUACCUGCAAAGGAAGCACCGGCUAACCCCGGGCCAGCAGCCGCGGUAAUACGGAGGGUGGGAGCGUUAAUCGGCAUUACUGGGCGUAAAGCGCUCGUAGGCGGUAUGUCAAGGCAAGGGUGAAAUCCCCGCGCUCCACGUGGGAACUGCCUUUGAAACUGGCAAACUGGAGUGUGUGAGAGGCUAGUGGAAUUCCCGGUGU